UCGCAUCUGGUGCAGCUCCCGCAGGAGGAUGUGGCCCUGGCACUUCGCCAGCGAAGCCACCCAGGGCCAGCGCGGGCGGCACAGGAGCGGGUGCACUGGUGCCGCCCACCCCGCUUGCUGCUGCCCGCGCUCCUCUGCCCCGCGCCCCGCCUCUGCGAAGCCCCCCGCCGGGCUCUUGCUGUCGGGAAGGCCGAGUGGAGUCGUGUCUGGAGCUGGCCUUCGACCGCCCGCUCCAUGUGCAGCUGCGUGUGCCCAUCUGCGUCCUCUCCACAGGCUCAGGCCAGUGGUGCCGAAGCUGAGCGCCGCCUUGCCCCGCACCGCAUCCGGGCGCGCUGGUGCCUGCGCCUGCCCAGGGCUCCCCAGCGAAGGCGCGGGGCGGCCAGGGGGCGAGCGUCAGUACCAGAGCCCACAGCAGGGCAGGGCGGGGCCCUUGGAGCGCGUGGACAAGCUCCGGCCGAGUGCUCCUGGUUCCCAGGCCUCCACUCCUGGACUGGAGUCAACACCAUCGGGUCUCCGGCUCUCGCCUGGGAACUGCACCACUGGCUCUCCUGGGUAUCCAGCCUGCAAGUGACUCAGCCUCCAUAACUGCAGCUGCCUGUUCACCCCAGGAACACAUCCCUGCACUUUCCCACCACCUCUUGUCAGCAGUGAUGACCUUUGAUGCGACCUAAAUAGG